UGAACGCUAGCGGCAGGCUUAAUACAUGCAAGUCGAGGGGCAGCAAAACACUUCGGUGUUGUUGGCGACCGGCGCACGGGUGCGUAAUGCGUAUGUAAUCUACCUUGUACUGGGGCAUAGCUUUCGGAAACGGAAAUUAAUACCCCAUAUUAUCUUAUUGUCGCAUGACAUAAAGAUGAAAGUUUUUCGGUACAAGAUGAGCAUACGUCCUAUUAGCUAGUUGGUGAAGUAACAGCUCACCAAGGCUACGAUAGGUAGGGGGUCUGAGAGGAUGUCCCCCCACACUGGUACUGAGACACGGACCAGACUCCUACGGGAGGCAGCAGUAAGGAAUAUUGGUCAAUGGGCGCAAGCCUGAACCAGCUAUGCCGCGUGCAGGAUGAAGGCCUUCAGGUCGUAAACUGCUUUUAUGCGAGAAAAAUAAGCUUCUGCGGAAGUUAAUGAUGUUAUCGCAUGAAUAAGCACCGGCUAACUCC
rnacentral:rRNA from 1 species